GUAGGUGGCAAGCGUUGUCCGGAAUUAUUGGGCGUAAAGCGCGCGCAGGCGGUUCUUUAAGUCUGAUGUGAAAGCCCACGGCUCAACCGUGGAGGGUCAUUGGAAACUGGAGAACUUGAGUACAGAAGAGGAAAGCGGAAUUCCACGUGUAGCGGUGAAAUGCGUAGAGAUGUGGAGGAACACCAGUGGCGAAGGCGGCUUUCUGGUCUGUAACUGACGCUGAGGCGCGAAAGCGUGGGGAGCAAACAGGAUUAGAUACCCUGGUAGUCCACGCCGUAAACGAUGAGUGCUAAUGUUAGGGGGUUUUCCGCCCCCCUUAGUGCUGCAGCUAACGCAUUAAGCACUCCGCCUGGGAGUACGGCCGCAAGGCUG
rnacentral:rRNA from 1 species